CACACUCUGUCCUGUCCGUCCUCUCUGUACUUCAUGUCUCCUCAUGAACUCCAUUCCUACAGAGAUUCAGCUGAAGAUCUUAUCAUCUGUAUUCAGGGUCAUAAUCCCCGACAAGUAGGAAAGAGCUGUCUCAGCCUCCUCUAUCUCAAUGUUGGGAAGUAACUUGUCCUGCUGUGUGAUUAGGACAGGUUUUGUGUGUACUAAUAGGACGGCGGCCAUUUUGUUUCUGCUA